AGUUGUUACUUCCUCAGAUGA
rnacentral:miRNA from 1 species